rnacentral:rRNA from 1 species
UACGAAGGGAGCUAGCGUUGUUCGGAAUCACUGGGCGUAAAGCGCACGUAGGCGGAUUUGUCAGUCAGGGGUGAAAUCCCGGGGCUCAACCUCGGAACUGCCUUUGAUACAGCAAGUCUUGAGUUCGAGAGAGGUGGGUGGAAUUCCCAGUGUAGCGGUGAAAUGCGUAGAUAUUGGGAGGAACACCAGUGGCGAAGGCGGCUCACUGGACCGGAACUGACGCUGAGGCGCGAAAGCGUGGGGAGCAAACAGG